AAAGCCCCCAAAUUCUCUCCUGUGACCCCAACCCCUCCUCCUCCAUCAAGCCCCAAAAAUCUGGAUCUCUCUCGUUCGAUCUCUCUCUUGAGCUCCCCCAACUCCGUCGACUUCCCCCAACUUCGCCUCCGACGACAUCCCACAUCACCGUUGACCACUCUCGAUCUCCCUCGAGCUCUCUCUCGAGAUCCCCCAACUCCGCCGAUGACCCCUACUCCGCCGACAUCCCCCUCCUCCGCCGACACCCACCAACUCCUCCUCUACCAAACAUGGACUUUCUCUUCUCUCUCCCUCUUCACAAUCUAGUGGUAGGUCUGUGGAGACUACGACUGUAAUGGAGAUCUUUACAGUUCGGUUUGAGAGGAUUUUCGUUGCUUUUUAUCAGUUAAAAGUAUUUUAAAUUUCUGUAGAUUGAGUGGGAUUUCUAAAUAUAUGAUGACACAAUUAGUGAAGAAAACUUGCCGAUGGAGAUGGUCGCUGGUUUUUGGAGGAUAGGGACAGCGAGGGGCCAUGGACAUUCCUUCGAAACCAAUUCUAAUUUUCCAUUUGGGUUAUGUCCUAGAGUGUGUUUCAGAAGUUCAUAGCUUCAAAUUGCAGUUAAUUCGCAUCUCCUGGCUUAGGUG